UGGGGAAUAUUGGGCAAUGGGCGCAAGCCUGACCCAGCAACGCCGCGUGAAGGAAGAAGGCUUUCGGGUUGUAAACUUCUUUUAUAAGGGACGAAAGCAAUGACGGUACCUUAUGAAUAAGCUCCGGCUAACUACGUGCCAGCAGCCGCGGUAAUACGUAGGGAGCAAGCGUUAUCCGGAUUUACUGGGUGUAAAGGGCGUGUAGGCGGGAAGGCAAGUCAGAUGUGAAAACUAUGGGCUCAACCCAUAGCCUGCAUUUGAAACUGUUUUUCUUGAGUACUGGAGAGGCAGGCGGAAUUCCGUGUGUAGCGGUGAAAUGCGUAGAUAUACGGAGGAACACCAGUGGCGAAGGCGGCCUGCUGGACAGCAACUGACGCUGAGGCGCGAAAGCGUGGGGAGCAAACAGG
rnacentral:rRNA from 1 species